rnacentral:lncRNA from 1 species
AACACAUCAACUUCCAAAAUAUUGAGAUUCAAGGCUUCUGCAUACAAUGGAUCACCUCUACCUGAAGGGGCCAUGCACUCUYUUCCCAAGUUCAGUUACUGUAACUCCUUCACUGAAUAGGAAUAUACGGAAUUCAUGACUUGCCUAAGGCGUGGGAGUAUUAGACUCCUGUCUGUGCUCUCUUUUGGAGCUCAAACUCUGCAGACAGGAGCCUGGACACACCUGGACCCUCCGUGUGAAGGGCCAGCCUCUGGUCUCCAGAUCCUCACAGGUGAGAGAGGUGCAGGGGACUGCAAAAUGUCUGCAGGUGCUCGGACAUGCCUGGGGUUCCAGGACACAAGAAUACAGCCUCACAGAGUGUGAAUACACUCUGCAG